GAUGAACGCUGGCGGCGUGCCUAAUACAUGCAAGUCGAGCGAACAGACGAGUAGCUUGCUCCUCUGACGUUAGCGGCGGACGGGUGAGUAACACGUGGAUAACCUACCUAUAAGACUGGGAUAACUUCGGGAAACCGGAGCUAAUACCGGAUAAUAUAUUGAACCGCAUGGUUCAAUAUUGAAAGACGGUUUUGCUGUCACUUAUAGAUGGAUCCGCGCCGCAUUAGCUAGUUGGUAAGGUAACGGCUUACCAAGGCAACGAUGCGUAGCCGACCUGAGAGGGUGAUCGGCCACACUGGAACUGAGACACGGUCCAGACUCCUACGGGAGGCAGCAGUAGGGAAUCUUCGGCAAUGGGCGAAAGCUUGACGGAGCAACGCCGCGUGAGUGAUGAAGGUCUUCGGAUCGUAAAACUCUGUUAUUAGGGAAGAACAAAUGUGUAAGUAACUAUGCACGUCUUGACGGUACCUAAUCAGAAAGCCACGGCUAACUACGUG
rnacentral:rRNA from 1 species